rnacentral:rRNA from 1 species
GAGUUUGAUCCUGGCUCAGGAUGAACGCUGGCGGCGUGCCUAACACAUGCAAGUCGAACGUGAAACCCAGUGCUUGCAUUGGGGAGUAAAGUGGCGAACGGGUGAGUAACACGUUGGUGACCUGCCCCGAGGUGGGGGACAACCGUGGGAAACCACGGCUAAUACCCCAGAUGUUGAGGAGUCUAGACGUCCUUAACUAAAGUUCCGACGCCUCGGGAGGGGCCUGCGGGCUAUCAGCUUGUUGGUGGGGUAACGGCCUACCAAGGCUAAGACGGCUAGGGGGCGUGAGAGCGCGACCCCCCACAAUGGAACUGAGACACGGUCCAUACUCCUACGGGAGGCAGCAGUGAGGAAUAUUGCACAAUGGGGGAAACCCUGAUGCAGCAACGCCGCGUGGAUGAUGAAGGCCCUCGGGUUGUAAAAUCCUUUUCUGAGGGACGAUAAUGACGGUACCUCAGGAAUAAGUCCCGGCUAACUACGUGCCAGCAGCCGCGGUAAAACGUAGGGGGCGAGCGUUAUCCGGAUUUAUUGGGCGUAAAGCGCGCGUAGCGGCACUGUAAGUUGGG